AUUGAGAAUGUAAACAUCUUAAUGGAUGUGUCUGCAUUUUUGACUCCUAGGAGACGGGAUUGGCAUCUUUCCGAAUUUCCUCAUAAAGACGAAUUGGACGUGAAAAGGGAUUGAUUUCAACAAUUUCAGAUGUAGAUCUUUCUUUUGUUGUGAUGUCCAUUUGCCUUGGUGAUUACUGUCGGAAAUGUCAAGAGGAGGAAGUCGAAAUUCCGUCGUUUUAACCAAAUAUGGCGAACGUCCGCUUAUCGACGUGCCGCCAUUGUCUCUAUCAAAAAGCAGAACCGAUGAUGAUGUCCCUAGACACAUGUUUAAAAUUCCCGGGAAAAGAGAGACAAAUGUGUAUCAUCAACCGCCGCGGUCGCCACAAGUCUCGCUCACGGCGCCGCAGCCUCAGCAGCGGCGGUAUCAGGAACCGCUGAUGGAUCUACCCACCACCCAGUAUCCUCGACCGAGUCACAGUCAAAACAGAAACUUUUAUCAACCGCAAUAUCCUGUGCAGGUUAGAGCGCAACCCCCGCCGCCGUCACCACCGACGCAACCGCAAAUUCAGCAACGGGGAUAUUCUAAAUUUAGCACCCGAUUCGAACUUAGUUCCGUAUAAUUACUCUCAUUAUCGACCACAGCCGCAACCCGUGCAACCUGUGCCACAAUACAGCACAACAUACGCCCCCGCACCGACUCAGCAACCAGUGCCUAAUGGAACCCAGUCAAACGAAGUGCAUGUGUAUUAUGGUCCUAAUGGUGAAAGACUACCAGGACCUCUCCCUGCUCCUAACUACCCUACGGACUUUACUUUGGAAGGGACUUUAGAAUACGGGAAAUUAGUGUCGGUUAAAGUUCGGAACUCGAAUAUCUCGUACCGAGAAAUGCCGGACUUCGUUUUCCGAGAUUUGGUAAGGAUGUACGGAACGAUGGAGAGAACAGAUGUGAAGAUUGUGGCACAAGGAGGGGAGUACAACAUAUACGCCACACCCAGCACGUCUGAUGGACAUAUCGCCAACAACCCUGGGUACAUCUAUGACCAGCCGCCAUUGAGGCAUGUUCCCGUCCCGGCCCAUAGUCAUCAUAGUCACCAGCCCCCCAUCCCGGCCCAUAGUCAUCAUAGUCACCAGCCGCAGGUUUACGACCACGAGGGGCAGGGGAUCUACGAUCCGUUCACCAAGAUCUACAGAUGAUGCAAUUUAGGAGGAAGCACACAGUCUUAGAGUAUGCACCAAUAGCACGCCGUGGGUACAGCGUUUGAGAAGCGAAUCAAAUCAUGCUGCGGUUGCAACUUCACCACAGUUUUGUUUGUUUGCACCAACUAAUUGUACUGUACAUGUAUUUGGUAACUUUUGGGUGGAUUGAAAAAGAGAAAAUCGGAUUUGCAUUUAUAUAUGUUUAUCACCACAGAAUGCGAUGUUUUUGUUUAGUCGCGUCUUAUAUUGAUAUAAUAAGUUAUGCACCUGAAACAAAGAAGUUUUUCAUUCAUCAGUUGUUUUUUACGUAUUUUAAGGAGUAUCAUGUAUAUAAAUGCUGAAUUCAUUUAUCAUGAUGGAUACAAAUAAAGUUCAAUAUACCGGU
rnacentral:misc_RNA from 1 species